UACGUAGGGCGCAAGCGUUAUCCGGAAUUAUUGGGCGUAAAGAGCUCGUAGGCGGUUUGUCGCGUCUGCCGUGAAAGUCCGGGGCUCAACUCCGGAUCUGCGGUGGGUACGGGCAGACUAGAGUGAUGUAGGGGAGACUGGAAUUCCUGGUGUAGCGGUGAAAUGCGCAGAUAUCAGGAGGAACACCGAUGGCGAAAGCAGGUCUCUGGGCAUUAACUGACGGCUGAGGAGCGAAAGCAUGGGGAGCGAACAGG
rnacentral:rRNA from 1 species